rnacentral:rRNA from 1 species
UACGUAGGGGGCAAGCGUUGUCCGGAUUUAUUGGGCGUAAAGAGCGUGUAGGCGGCCAUACAGGUCCGUUGUGAAAACUCGAGGCUUAACCUCGAGACGUCGAUGGAAACCGUAUGGCUAGAAUCCGGAAGAGGAGAGUGGAAUUCCUGGUGUAGCGGUGAAAUGCGCAGAUAUCAGGAGGAACACCGAUUGCGAAGGCAGCUCGCUGGGACGUUACUGACGCUGAGACGCGAAAGCGUGGGGAGCAAACAGG